rnacentral:tRNA from 1 species
GCCUGGGUGGCUCAGUUGGUUAAGCGUCUGACUUCAGCUCAGGUCAUGAUCUCACAGUCCGUGAGUUCGAGCCCCACGUCGGGCU